rnacentral:rRNA from 1 species
ACGCUCGACACCUACGGGAGGCAGCAGUGGGGGAGUAUUGCACAAUGGGGGAAACCCGUGAUGCAGCAACGCCGCGUGAAGGAAGAAGGUCUUCGGAUUGUAAACUUCUGUCCUCAGGGAAGAUAAUGACGGUACCUGAGGAGGAAGCUCCGGCUAACUACGUGCCAGAAGCCGCGGUAAUCUGAGCGGGCUGGCAAGGC